rnacentral:rRNA from 1 species
UACUAAUACAUGCAGUCGAGCGAUGGAUUAAGAGCUUGCUCUUAUGAAGUUAGCGGCGGACGGGUGAGUAACACGUGGGUAACCUGCCCAUAAGACUGGGAUAACUCCGGGAAACCGGGGCUAAUACCGGAUAACAUUUUGAACCGCAUGGUUCGAAAUUGAAAGGCGGCUUCGGCUGUCACUUAUGGAUGGACCCGCGUCGCAUUAGCUAGUUGGUGAGGUAACGGCUCACCAAGGCAACGAUGCGUAGCCGACCUGAGAGGGUGAUCGGCCACACUGGGACUGAGACACGGCCCAGACUCCUACGGGAGGCAGCAGUAGGGAAUCUUCCGCAAUGGACGAAAGUCUGACGGAGCAACGCCGCGUGAGUGAUGAAGGCUUUCGGGUCGUAAAACUCUGUUGUUAGGGAAGAACAAGUGCUAGUUGAAUAAGCUGGCACCUUGACGGUACCUAACCAGAAAGCCACGGCUAACUACGUGCCAGCAGCCGCGGUAAUACGUAGGUGGCAAGCGUUAUCCGGAAUUAUUGGGCGUAAAGCGCGCGCAGGUGGUUUCUUAAGUCUGAUGUGAAAGCCCACGGCUCAACCGUGGAGGGUCAUUGGAAACUGGGAGACUUGAGUGCAGAAGAGGAAAGUGGAAUUCCAUGUGUAGCGGUGAAAUGCGUAGAGAUAUGGAGGAACACCAGUGGCGAAGGCGACUUUCUGGUCUGUAACUGACACUGAGGCGCGAAAGCGUGGGGGAGCAAACAGGAUUAGAUAC